GUAGGGCGCAAGCGUUAUCCGGAAUUAUUGGGCGUAAAGAGCUCGUAGGCGGUUUGUCGCGUCUGCCGUGAAAGUCCGGGGCUCAACUCCGGAUCUGCGGUGGGUACGGGCAGACUAGAGUGAUGUAGGGGAGACUGGAAUUCCUGGUGUAGCGGUGAAAUGCGCAGAUAUCAGGAGGAACACCGAUGGCGAAGGCAGGUCUCUGGGCAUUAACUGACGCUGAGGAGCGAAAGCAUGGGGAGCGAACAGGAUUAGAUACCCUGGUAGUCCAUGCCGUAAACGUUGGGCACUAGGUGUGGGGGACAUUCCACGUUUUCCGCGCCGUAGCUAACGCAUUAAGUGCCCCGCCUGGGGAGUACGGCCGCAAGGCUA
rnacentral:rRNA from 1 species